CGAAGGGCGGAGCGUUAUUCGGAAUCACUGGGCGGUAAAGACGUGCGUAGGCUGUUUUGUUAAGUCAGAAGUGAAAGCCCCAGGGCUUAACCCUGGAAUUGCUUUUGAAACUAACAAGACUCGAAUUCGGGAGAGGAUAGCGGAAUUGUCAGUGUAGCAGUGAAAUGCGUAGAUAUUGACAGGAACACCAGUGGCGAAAGCGGCUAUCUGGACCGACAUUGACGCUGAGGCACGAAAGCGUGGGAGCAAAACAGGAUU
rnacentral:rRNA from 1 species